rnacentral:tmRNA from 1 species
GGGGAUGACAGGUUUUGACAGCAUGUAGAAAAGACUGCGUAAGCACGUAGUGCAUGGUUGGCUAGCACUUUAAUACUAGACAACGAACUAUUUUAAAUGGCGCAAAUAACUACGCUCUCGCUGCGUAAACUGAGUAGACACUCACUUUUACGCUUGCACGCUUGAGUAUAGACUCGCGAGCGAGACAUCACCCAGAUACCGUGAGCCCGAGGUGGUCUGAUCAGGUGGUGCUAUCUAUAUCGGGAAGGGUGACCGGGGCGUCUUUCGUCGGUCGCGACACCUAAGAGACUAAGUAAAGAGGAGGGUUGCUCUGGCCUAACCUCUUUGCCGACAACCCAAAUCAGAGAUAAACGUGUAGAAAGCCGGUAGUUUCCGUGUUUGGACGAGGGUUCGAAUCCCUCCAUCUCCACGA